GCUCCCUGGUGGUCAGUGCAUGUUAUAGCUAGUGGUUGAGCGGCCUUAGCAUAUCAUUAACAUAUUACACUUUGCUUGGUUGAACGGACAAACAGAUGUCUGGGCACUUAGCAUAUUAGGCUUUUAUUAUAUAGGAUUGGCAUAUAUGAAUUA